AGGGUGCGUAGGCGGGAUAAUAAGUCAGUGGUGAAAGCCUACAGCUUAACUGUAGAACUGCCAUUGAUACUGUUAACCUUGAGUACAAUUGAAGUGGGCGGAAUGUGUCAUGUAGCGGUGAAAUGCUUAGAUAUGACACAGAACACCGAUAGCGAAGGCAGCUCACUAAACUGUAACUGACGCUGAGGCACGAAAGCGUGGGGAUCAAACAGGAUUAGAUACCCUGGUAGUCCACGCCGUAAACGAUGAUCACUCGAUGUGUGCGAUAUACUGUACGCGUCUGAGCGAAAGCAUUAAGUGAUCCACCUGGGGAGUACGUUCGCAAGGAUGAAACUCAAAGGAAUUGACGGGGGCCCGCACAAGCGGAGGAGCAUGUGGUUUAAUUCGAUGAUACGCGAGGAACCUUACCUGGGCUUAAAUGGGAAAAGACAGCCGCCGAAAGGUGGUCUUCCGCAAGGACUUUUUUCAAGGUGCUGCAUGGCUGUCGUCAGCUCGUGCCGUGAGGUGUUGGGUUAAGUCCCGUAACGAGCGCAACCCCUAUCUUUAGUUGCCAUCAGGUAAUGCUGGGAACUCUAAAGAAACUGCCUACGCAAGUAGUGAGGAAGGUGGGGAUGACGUCAAGUCAGCACGGCCCUUAC
rnacentral:rRNA from 1 species